rnacentral:rRNA from 1 species
CAGUCGCGCGGUAAUACAGAGGGUGCGAGCGUUAAUCGGAUUUACUGGGCGUAAAGCGUGCGUAGGCGGCUUCUUAAGUCGGAUGUGAAAUCCCUGAGCUUAACUUAGGAAUUGCAUUCGAUACUGGGAAGCUAGAGUAUGGGAGAGGAUGGUAGAAUUCCAGGUGUAGCGGUGAAAUGCGUAGAGAUCUGGAGGAAUACCGAUGGCGAAGGCAGCCAUCUGGCCUAAUACUGACGCUGAGGUACGAAAGCAUGGGGAGCAAACAGGAUUAGAUACCCCUGUAGUCCCUGUCUCUUAUACC